rnacentral:rRNA from 1 species
UGACCGCUAGCUACAGGCUUAACACAUGCAAGUCGAGGGGCAACGGCAUCGAAAGCUUGCUUUUGAUGGGCGUCGACCGGCGCACGGGUGAGUAACGCGUAUCCAACCUGCCCAUCACUUGGGAAUAACCUUGCGAAAGUAAGACUAAUGCCCAAUGACAUCCCACGAAGGCAUCCGAAUGGGAUUAAAGAUUUAUCGGUGAUGGAUGGGGAUGCGUCUGAUUAGCUUGUUGGCGGGGUGACGGCCCACCAAGGCAACGAUCAGUAGGGGUUCUGAGAGGAAGGUCCCCCACAUUGGAACUGAGACACGGUCCAAACUCCUACGGGAGGCAGCAGUGAGGAAUAUUGGUCAAUGGGCGAGAGCCUGAACCAGCCAAGUAGCGUGCAGGAUGACGGCCCUAUGGGUUGUAAACUGCUUUUAGAAGGGAAUAAAGUGGGUCACGUGUGACUUUUUGCAUGUACCUUAUGAAUAAGGGCCGGCUAAUUCCGUG